UAUUAUGGUCGCAAAAGGUAAUAGCGGGAGGGUGAAAACAUUUUAGCGGGAUCCCAAAACCUUUGGCGACCAGUAAGUUGUGGUCACAAAAACGCAAAAGGGCAUAUUUUAUAAUGAAAUUAGGUCAUUUUGAAUGUUUCCAAAGCUUUGCUUCCUCUCCUCCAUCGUUGGCCCUCUUCCUCCCAAUAGCCUGAGUUACUCUCUCUCUCUCUCGUCACUCUCUCACUCCCAACUGGCAACAAAACCCUAGCUUCCAUCUCCAUUCAAUUCGUCCCUUGUUCUGCCUCCGCCACCAGUUCCGGUGCCUUGCCACUCUUGACCUCCAGUCUAGGUAUGAUUUGUGUUCUUUUAAUUUUUUUUUUCUUUUCCCCCAAAAGGCAGAGAGGGAGAGAGAAAGCAGAGAAAGAAAAAUCAGACAUUUGAAAGAGAGAGAGAAACCGUGUGGAAAAGUGAAGGAUCUGAGUGAUGGAGGCCUGAUAGAUUAGAAGAUGAGUUGGAAGGAAAGAAUGACCCCUGAUUGUAUUGUUUUUUUUUUUCCCAACUUCAAUUUAUCUAUGUUCCAUAAUUACUUUGUGUUUGAUAGACGAUGGUCUUGCUGGGCAUACAAAACUUGUGCAUAGAAGCUGUUUGAGGAUUUGUCAAAGAGACUAAUACUUCAUUGGCUCCAAGGAUUUCUUUUCAUUGGUGCUAGAAGCCCCAGUUGUGAAUGGAGAUCUUUUGUCAUGCGUUUGUAUUCUAGACUUUUCUCUCUAUGCUUCACUUUGAGUAGAUUAUUUUUCUUAAUUUAAAAAUUGUUUCGAAUCUGUAAAGAAUAUGAACUCUCUUGUCUAUUCUUCUUUGACGAAUGUUAAACAACCAUAUCCUAGGAAAAUUUAACUUUCUGGGUUAACUUUUUUUUUUUUUUUUUUUUUUGGAUAAAAAACUUUCUGGGUAACUUUACUUGAAGUAGAUUCUAGAAAGGCAUAGUGUAGAUUAUAUAAUCAAAGAUACAUAUACACCUAAGGGAAAAGUAAAACUUACAAUCAUCCACUUUUUUUUUUCCCCCCCUUAAGGUAGUAAACAUCAUCCCUUAUAAUGUGGAGCAAAGUAUUUGUCUUUAAAGCUUGUUUAAUAUAUACUUGAGUGAGUUAGGCACCAUGUUGAGUUGAGAAACAUAACCAAAUAUGAUCUAUAUUGUGUUUCAUAUUUUCUUAGGAUACUUUGCAUUUAUAAAUAAUUAUAACUAGCCAAAUUGAAGUUUAUAGAAUAAAGCUUUAAAAGAAUAAAAACGAAAUAAAGAAAUAUUUACAUAAUGAAUAUUGCCUCUAUUCAAUGUUUAAUUUGGUCACCAAAUCAUGAUGUGUAGAUGGUAUUUUAACUGUGAAUUUUCCUAAUUUGCUAGCAUAUUUUGCUGAAAUGAUUCCUGCACUUGAAAAUUUGAUAGUAUUGAAGUAUGAGCAAGGAUCCUCUAGAGUGAUUUUUUCUUAAAGUUUCCUAGAGUGCUACAUUGUGUGGUUGAGAUUUACUGGCAAGUCACAUCAAUUUUUUUUGAUGUGAUUUGCCAAUAAAUCUCAAUCACACAAUGUAGCACUCUAGGAAACUUUAGGGAAAUUUCACUCUAGAGGAUCCUACCUUGUUAUUGAGUGGUUGUGUUCUAGUCAAUCAGUCUUCUUCUUUCCAAUUUUGUUUGUUGACUUUUUCAUUCACAUAUGUUAUUUAAAUAGAUGUUCAAAUCUGUUGUCUGUUACUAGGAGUAUGUGGUUUGAAAUGGUUAAAAGUGUAUAAACAACAGCAGCCUAUAUAGCAGCAGCAUACAAAUAGCUCUUUAAUUGUCCUUAUUCUUGUAGAGUGUGGACGUUACAUUGUUUAUAACAUAUGGAUUGAAAGAAAAAA